rnacentral:misc_RNA from 1 species
CCCUGAGACAACACUCGGUCCGUCCGUGUGGAGUCCCUCCAUCUUGGUGGUGGGGUGUGGUGUUUGAGUAUUGGAUAGUGGUUGCGAGCAUCUAGAUGAGCGCAUGGUCUUCGUGGCCGGC